UGGGGAAUAUUGGACAAUGGGCGCAAGCCUGAUCCAGCAAUGCCGCGUGUGUGAAGAAGGCCUUCGGGUUGUAAAGCACUUUUAUCAGGAGCGAAACGCUGUCGGCUAAUACCCGGCGGAACUGACGGUACCUGAGGAAUAAGCACCGGCUAACUUCGUGCCAGCAGCCGCGGUAAUACGAAGGGUGCAAGCGUUAAUCGGAAUUACUGGGCGUAAAGCGUGCGUAGGCGGUUUCUUAAGUCUGCUGUGAAAUCCCCGGGCUCAACCUGGGAAUGGCAGUGGAUACUGGGAGGCUAGAGUGUGUCAGAGGGUGGUGGAAUUCCCGGUGUAGCGGUGAAAUGCGUAGAGAUCGGGAGGAACAUCAGUGGCGAAGGCGGCCACCUGGGACAACACUGACGCUGAGGCACGAAAGCGUGGGGAGCAAACAGGAUUAGGAUACCCUGGUAGUCCACGCCCUAAAGCGAUGCGAACUGGAUGUUGGUCUCAACUCGGAGAUCAGUGUCGAAGCUAACGCGUUAAGUUCGCCGCCUGGGGAGUACGGUCGCAAGACUGAAACUCAAAUGAAUUGACGGGGUCAUAGCUGUUUCCUG
rnacentral:rRNA from 1 species